rnacentral:rRNA from 1 species
GACGAACGCUGGCGGCGUGCUUAACACAUGCAAGUCGAACGGAAAGGCCCUGCUUUUGUGGGGUGCUCGAGUGGCGAACGGGUGAGUAGCACGUGAGUAACCUGCCCUUGACUUUGGGAUAACUUCAGGAAACUGGGGCUAAUACCGGAUAGGAGCUCCUGCUGCAUGGUGGGGGUUGGAAAGUUUCGGCGGUUGGGUAUGGACUCGCGGCAUAUCAGCUUGUUGGUGGGGUAGUGGCUUACCAAGGCUUUGACGGGUAGCCGGGCUGAGAGGGUGACCGGACACAUUGGGACUGAGAUACGGCACAGACUCCUACGGGAGGCAGCAGUGGGGAAGAGUGCACAAUGGGCGGAAGCCUGAUGCAGCAACGCCGCGUGCGGGAUAACGGCCUUCGGGUUGUAUAGCGCUUUCGCUUGUGACGAAGCGUGAGUGACGGUAAUGGGUAAAGAAGCACCGGCUAACUACGUG